rnacentral:rRNA from 1 species
UACAGAGGGUGCGAGCGUUGCUCGGAAUCACUGGGCGUAAAGCGCACGUAGGCGGAUUUGUAAGUCAGAUGUGAAAGCCCGGGGCUCAACCUAGGAACUGCAUUUGAUACUGCCAGUCUUGAGUCUGGAAGAGGGGAGUGGAAUUCCUGGUGUAGAGGUGAAAUUCGUAGAUAUCAGGAGGAACACCAGUGGCGAAGGCGGCUCGCUGGAUCAAUGCUGACGCUGAGACGCGAAAGCGUGGGGAGCAAACAGG